rnacentral:lncRNA from 1 species
CUUUGUUAUGGGGAGGAGAAAAUGAGACAGAGAACAGCAAAGCCCAAUGACGUUUAGAUUCUUGAGGCUUCUUUCUCUUACCUGGUGUCCAAAGCUAGAGGAAUGGAAGAAAUGUCCCAUCUAGUCAUCUCAGAAGCAAAGUGACUUUUACAAAAUGCUCUCCUUGGGCAUCACCUUUGCUGUCAUCUUGCUUCAAGACUCAGUUCUUGCCAUGGUGAGUGAGCACCUUCCGAAGCAGCACCUGCUAAGGAACAACUGCUUUGGGAGAGCUCAAUGUGACAUCCUUGGAAACAGAUGAGCUGAAGAAAGACAGUUAUUUUAUUGGGAGGACAAAUUCAAGGCCUGGCAGAAGUGAGAGGAGUGCUGAGAAGAAUCAGAGGGCAAGCAACGAAGGAACCAGGGACAUAAAAAUCUGACGGAUUGUGCCACAUACUGGAAGACUGUGAAAUCUAUCCCCGCACUCUGAGAACCAGAUUGAAAGAAGAUAUGCAUUUCAUUUAACCUGGGAACUGGGCUAUCAUAUUGAUAGCUGCUUCACCUCUUGAAGAUUUUAGCUAGAAUAUAAUUGAACAAUUUCAAGACAUUUCCAAAUUCCAGGAGCUGAGCUGGUUGCUUUACCAUGCACUCCUUGGCAUGACAAGCUACGCUACCACAAGCCCAAAGAAGCAGGCCAACUGACUAUGGACCAGAGCCUCUGUAAUUGUGAGCCAAAAUAAACCUUUCCUCUUUUACACUUUAUUAUCUCAGGUACUUUGUUACAGUGAUGGAAAGCUGACAGAGACUCAGUUUGCACUUUGUCGUAAAUAAACAGAAU